CAUUCGAGUGGCGGACGGGUGAGUAACGUGUGGGUAACCUGCCUUACACAGGGGGAUAACACCUGGAAACAGGUGCUAAUACCGCAUAAGCGCACAGGGCCGCAUGGCCCGGUGUGAAAAACUCCGGUGGUGUAAGAUGGGCCCGCGUCUGAUUAGCUUGUUGGCGGGGUAGGGGCCCACCAAGGCGACGAUCAGUAGCCGGCCUGAGAGGGUGGACGGCCACAUUGGGACUGAGACACGGCCCAAACUCCUACGGAAGGCAGCAG
rnacentral:rRNA from 1 species